rnacentral:rRNA from 1 species
GACGAACCGUGACGAACGUUAUUCGGAAUUACUGGGCUUAAAGGGUGCGUAGGCGGCGCAGUAAGUUGGGUGUGAAAUCCCUCGGCUUAACCGAGGAAUUGCGCCCAAAACUACUGUGCUCGAGGGAGGUAGAGGUGAGCGGAACUUAGGGUGGAGCGGAUGAAAUGCGUUGAUAGUCCUAAGGGAACACCGGUGGCGAAAGCGGCUCACUGGACCUCUUCUGACGCUGGAGGCACGAAAGCUAGGGUAGCAAACGGG